rfam:Triticum aestivum genome assembly, contig: Triticum_aestivum_CS42_TGACv1_scaffold_093053_2AL
UACGUACUCCCUCCGUUCCAAAAUAGAUGACCCAACUUUGUAUUAACUUUGUAAAGUUAAUACAAAGUUGGGUCAUCUAUUUUGGAACGGAGGGAGUAGAAG